rnacentral:rRNA from 1 species
UACGUAGGGGGCAAGCGUUGUCCGGAUUUAUUGGGCGUAAAGAGCGUGUAGGCGGCCAGGUAGGUCAGCUGUGAAAACUCGAGGCUCAACCUCGAGACGCCGGUUGAAACCAUCUGGCUAGAGUCCGGAAGAGGCGAGUGGAAUUCCUGGUGUAGCGGUGGAAUGCGCAGAUAUCAGGAGGAACACCAAUAGCGAAGGCAGCUCGCUGGGACGUUACUGACACUGAGGCGCGAAAGCGUGGGGAGCGAACAGG